AAAAUCCAAUAAGAAGCAAGAACUAAGUGAUCGAUGUAAU
rnacentral:guide_RNA from 1 species